UACGAAGGGGGCUAGCGUUGUUCGGAAUUACUGGGCGUAAAGCGCACGUAGGCGGACAUUUAAGUCAGGGGUGAAAUCCCAGAGCUCAACUCUGGAACUGCCUUUGAUACUGGGUGUCUUGAGUUCGAGAGAGGUGGGUGGAAUUCCUAGUGUAGAGGUGAAAUUCGUAGAUAUUAGGAAGAACACCGGUGGCGAAGGCGGCCCACUGGCUCGACACUGACGCUGAGGUGCGAAAGCGUGGGGAGCAAACAGG
rnacentral:rRNA from 1 species